rnacentral:rRNA from 1 species
CUGGCGGCGUGCUUAACACAUGCAAGUCGAGCGAAGCACUUAAGUUCGAUUCUUCGGAUGAAGACUUUUGUGACUGAGCGGCGGACGGGUGAGUAACGCGUGGGUAACCUGCCUCAUACAGGGGGAUAACAGUUAGAAAUGGCUGCUAAUACCGCAUAAGACCACAGUACAGCAUGGUACAGUGGUAAAAACUCCGGUGGUAUGAGAUGGACCCGCGUCUGAUUAGGUAGUUGGUGAGGUAACGGCCCACCAAGCCGACGAUCAGUAGCCGACCUGAGAGGGUGACCGGCCACAUUGGGACUGAGACACGGCCCAGACUCCUACGGGAGGCAGCAGUGGGGAAUAUUGCACAAUGGGCGAAAGCCUGAUGCAGCGACGCCGCGUGAAGGAUGAAGUAUUUCGGUAUGUAAACUUCUAUCAGCAGGGAAGAAAAUGACGGUACCUGACUAAGAAGCCCCGGCUAACUACGUGCCAGCAGCCGCGGU